UACGUAGGUGGCAAGCGUUGUCCGGAUUUACUGGGUGUAAAGGGCGUGCAGCCGGGCUGACAAGUCAGAUGUGAAAUCCCGCGGCUCAACCGCGGAACUGCAUUUGAAACUGUCAGUCUUGAGUACCGGAGAGGUCAUCGGAAUUCCUUGUGUAGCGGUGAAAUGCGUAGAUAUAAGGAAGAACACCAGUGGCGAAGGCGGAUGACUGGACGGCAACUGACGGUGAGGCGCGAAAGCGUAGGGAGCAAAUAGG
rnacentral:rRNA from 1 species